rnacentral:rRNA from 1 species
GUCCUUCUGUUUAUAAUAAAAGGUCUAGCCUGCCCACUGAGUAUUUGAAUGGCUGCGGUAUCCUGACCGUGCUAAGGUAGCAUAAUCAUUAGUUCUUUAAUUGAGAGCUGGAAUGAAAGGUUGGACGAGAAAGUAACUGUCUCUAUUUAAUUUUCAUAGAAUUUUAUCUUUAAGUAAAAAAGCUUAAAUUUUUUAAGAAGACGAGAAGACCCUAUAGAGUUUUAUAUAAAAUUUUAUUUAUAAGUUUAUGGAAUUAAAAUGUGAAAUUUUAUUUUAUAUUUGGUUGGGGUGACUGAAAAAUUAAUUUAACUUUUUCUUAUUUUUACACUAAUGAGUGAAUUUUUGAUCCAAUUUUUGAUUAUAAGAUAAAAUUACCUUAGGGAUAACAGCGUAAUUUUUCUUGAGAGUUCUAAUCGAAAGAAGAGUUUGCGACCUCGAUGUUGGAUUAAAAUAAAUUUUUGGUGUAGAAGCUAAAAGUUUAGGUCUGUUCGACCUUUAAAAUUU